rnacentral:lncRNA from 12 species
AUGGACCAGCCCUUCCUGGUGCAGGACGUCAGGAACUGGAUGUCAGAAAAGGAAUUCAGAAAAGGAAGCAAGCUAAGAAGUCUCUGCAGAGUAUGGUCUCAGUGUAUCUUGGACAGUAUGCACAGAUGGGCACGCAGCACAGAUGGACACACAGCCCUUCAUGAAGAACUGUUCUUCAACCUGAUACCACUAACCCUCAGCAAUUCAAGUUGUUUCUUCUUUGCACUAUUGAGAUUUUUUAAAAAAAACUUGCAGCAGUUUGUUUCUGACACUGCAGUUUGAUAUCUCUCUGUGAACCAUUAUAUUAUGUUUGCUCAGACACCCAUUUUGCAAAGUUGGACUUCUCCACAUAGAGCAGUCCUUGAUCCCUGCUAUUCAAGGAUGCAUUUUGGCAGCAGGAGGUUACAUCUGUGGGUGUCAAACACCUUUUCAAAAUCCAUCCUCCUGUUUGUCUUCCGCAUCACAUCUGCUCGUCUUGCUCAUAUUCAAUGGGGAGGGAAAGCUGGUAUGUGAAGACAGAUGUUGGAAGAAGAGCAGACCUUCCCCAGUGCAAAGCCUCAGGAUUGCUGAGGACAUUGCCUAACAGAGCUUUUGUUAACUGUUGGGAAGGAGGAGCCUCAGAGGUCAUUCAUGCUGCAUCUGGUGAGCAUUGUCGAAAGAGACUCUCCUGUCUGUGCCUUCAGUCUAUUUUUGUGCUGUAUUCAUAUCAUGCCAUCACAAGUUAACAUGCAGCUACACCAUGAACUGGCCCAGGGAGCUGAUCUGGCUGAAAACUCACCCAUCUAAAAGGAGGGGGAAAAAAAAAUCUUCUCCAGCCAGCUCAGAUUUCUGAUCUCAUUUACCACACAGCAGCACUAACAGCUGUACCACCACCAGGGAGGUAACCUCUUCCCACAGCUGUGGUGGCUGCUGCCAACUCUUCCUCAGGAGCAACCCAAGCCUUUGCCCUAUGGACCUGCUCCUUAGGAACUGAGUUUUCUCAUUUCAUUCCCACUACUAAGGCAAUUCUAGCUUGUGUAGACAUGGGUACCCAACAAUGGAUUUGAAGAGGUCUGCUUAGAA